AUCCGGAGGGUGCGAGCGUUAAUCGGAAUUACUGGGCGUAAAGCGUACGUAGGCGGUUGGUUAAGUUAGAUGUGAAAGCCCCGGGCUUAACCUGGGAACUGCAUUUAAAACUGGCGAACUAGAGUUGAGUAGAGGGGAGUGGAAUUUCAGGUGUAGCGGUGAAAUGCGUAGAGAUCUGAAGGAACACCAGUGGCGAAGGCGACUCCCUGGACUCGAACUGACGCUGAGGUACGAAAGCGUGGGUAGCAAACGGGAUUAGAAACCCCAGUAGUCC
rnacentral:rRNA from 1 species